rnacentral:rRNA from 1 species
CAGCAGCCACGGUAAUACGUAGGGAGCUAGCGUUGUUCGGAAUUACUGGGCGUAAAGCGCGCGUAGGCGGCUACUCAAGUCAGAGGUGAAAGCCCGGGGCUCAACCCCGGAACUGCCUUUGAAACUAGGUGACUAGAAUCUUGGAGAGGUCAGUGGAAUUCCGAGUGUAGAGGUGAAAUUCGUAGAUAUUCGGAAGGACACCAGUGGCGAAGGCGACUGACUGGACAAGUAUUGACGCUGAGGUGCGAAAGCGUGGGGAGCAAACAGGAUUAGAUACCCCCGUAGUCCCUGUCUCUUAUAC